rnacentral:rRNA from 1 species
AACCGGAGGAAGGUGGGGAUGACGUCAAGUCCUCAUGGCCCUUAUGACCAGGGCUACACACGUGCUACAAUGGCCGGUACAAAGAGUUGCGAUACCGCGAGGUGGAGCUAAUCUCAUAAAGCCGGUCUCAGUUCGGAUUGGAGUCUGCAACUCGACUCCAUGAAGUUGGAAUCGCUAGUAAUCGCGGAUCAGCACGCCGCGGUGAAUACGUUCCCGGGCCUU